CACAGAAGGGGUUUUUUAUGUGAACUUAGAGUGACUGGCUACUCUGCUCAUCCAACAGCCCAUCCACCCAUCCUGUUCAUCCAUGCAUUCAUCCAUCCAUCUGUCCAUCCAUCAGUCCAAUCCAUUCAUCCAUCACUAAUCCAUCCAUCCCUCCACCUACCCAUCCAUUCAUCCAUGCAUUCAUCCAUCCAUCCACCCAUUCAUCCAUCACUCAUCCAUCCAUCCCUCCAUCCACCCAUCCAUUCAUCCAUCCAUUCAUCUUUCUCUCCAUCUGUUCAUCUCUCCACGCAUCCAUCCCUCCAUCCAUCCAUUCAUCUUUCUCUCCAUCUGUUCAUCUCUCCACGCAUCCAUCCAUCCAUCCAUCCAUUUGUCCAUCCCUCCAUCUGCCCAUCCAUCUGUCAAACCAUGCAUCAAUAAAUAUUCAGAGCAUCUGCUAUGUGCCAGGCAUGGCUCUAGACACUGGACUCAGCAGGGAACAAAGGCCUCUAGCCUCAUGGAGUGAGGUCCCCACUCACACGUGAGUGGAGACACAGGCACCGAGCAGACACCCAGCUGGCCUGAGAGCAGCAGGCCCUACUGAGGAAAGACAGCUCCGGGGAAGGGGCUGCAGGGCAGAGUGUGGGCAUCAGCUCAGCAUGGUGGGGGCAGCCUGAAGAGGACCGUUGGGCAGGGACCCAAGACCAUCAGGGAGGAGGGUGCCAGGAGGAAACAGCAAGCGUGAAGGCCCUGUGGUAGAGACUCCACGCACGCUGUACCUUCUUUUCCCAGUUAGCACGUCCAAGGAUCUGUCAACUAGAGCAGUAGGACAACUGGCCUGGGGCAGUCCCAUCCCGCAGCACGGGUGUUGGGAAGGCAGCCCCUCCAUACUCGCCAUGAACAGGCCUUUGGCUCUCCUCCGGCUGCCGACGAAGAAUCGAGCUCCUUUCACUGACAGGGUGGCUGGGAAGGGCACAUCGGCCAUUCUGAAAAUAUCAAAGGACUGUGUUAGGGCCAUAGGAGAGUGGUCACCCCAGUUUACUCACAGAAGGAACAGGAACAAGCCCCUCACUAAGCAGCGUGCAUCUGUGCUGUGGCUGCCACACAAAGGAUGGCACACAGGGCUGAUCGCCUGCACAGCUCUGGAGCCCAGUAGCCUGGAUCAGGCUGGGGCAGGGUUUCUCCGAAGGCUCCAGAGGAGGACGCUUCCUCGACUCAUCAGCUUCUGGUGGCUGCACGUGCUCCCCGUGACCUGUGGCCAUGUCGCUCCAGUGUCCGACUCUCCCAGUAUCUGUCUCCUGGUAAGGAUCCUAGUCACACUGGAGCAGGGCCCGCCUCACUCCAGGAUGAUCUCAGCUUGACUUGAUGACUGCAAAGACUCUGUUUCCAGGUGAACGUUUGUCCAGGCCUCAGGCGCUGCCGCCACGUCAUUCCUAGCUGCUGUGGCAAAGCCAGAAGUCAGGCAGCAUUCACGUCCAGCCAGGACUUUCUUUACGGGGUGGGAAGCUGCUGCUAGGUCAGGUUGUCUUCAGCCUGCACAGCACGUCCCUGGGAGGCUUCCAGCUCUCAGGACCUGAGAACUCAUCACCGUCCUGAGGGCCCUAAAGAGUUUGGGGUAUGGUGGGAGAGAGGCUCUGAUAAAAGUGUGUUUAAGCUAAGUGCAUAAUAAAAAUAUUUAUGCGAUAAGUUUCAUAACAAAACAGAAGAUCCUACCUUUGAAAGUAAUAUUCGAAAUAAUUUAAUAUUUAAUAGAUUUAAUAUAAACUGGAUCAUUUGCAAUUAAAAAGACAGAAGCGCAGCCCUGCUCCACAGUGGUAGAUCCUGACAUGGGUAACCAACUGGCCGAGCUAGGGGACUGAGGACUCCUGUCCAGGGGACCUACCGUCAGGCCACAAACCAGGCGACGGCAAAAACGAGAAACGAACUCGGCUUCCAAAAGCCCCCAUUGUGUCCAAGGCUACAAAGGAUAAUCUUGUACUCAUUUGGAGUUUCUGUCAACAUCUGCUCCCUCGUCCACGAGGAACCUGCCAUGUGGAGUCACGGAGCCAGGCCUCGGCCUCCAGCCUGGAGGUUGGGGAAGGAGUUACUCUGACUUCCCGCUGCUGCCUGUUGUGAUGUUAGCGCCCUCCCCACAGUGCCGGUCCCCUGCCAAGUCCCCUGAGCUACUUCUGGAAAAGGAGUGCGCUUGGUGUGAUCGCCCUUACCUUGUUCUAAGCCACUGACUCUGAUGUGCAGCGGGUUUUGUGUUUAA
ensembl:lncRNA novel transcript, antisense to TSPEAR